UACGAAGGGGGCUAGCGUUGUUCGGAAUCACUGGGCGUAAAGGGCGCGUAGGCGGCUUUAUAAGUCGGGGGUGAAAGCCUGUGGCUCAACCACAGAAUUGCCUUCGAUACUGUAGAGCUUGAGACCGGAAGAGGUAAGUGGAACUGCGAGUGUAGAGGUGAAAUUCGUAGAUAUUCGCAAGAACACCUGUGGCGAAGGCGGCUUACUGGUCCGGUUCUGACGCUGAGGCGCGAAAGCGUGGGGAGCAAACAGG
rnacentral:rRNA from 1 species